rnacentral:rRNA from 1 species
AGCGUACACGGUGGAUGCCCUGGCAGUCAGAGGCGAUGAAGGACGUGCUAAUCUGCGAUAAGCGUCGGUAAGGUGAUAUGAACCGUUAUAACCGGCGAUUUCCGAAUGGGGAAACCCAGUGUGAUUCGUCACACUAUCAUUAACUGAAUCCAUAGGUUAAUGAGGCGAACCGGGGGAACUGAAACAUCUAAGUACCCCGAGGAAAAGAAAUCAACCGAGAUUCCCCCAGUAGCGGCGAGCGAACGGGGAGCAGCCCAGAGCCUGAAUCAGUGUGUGUGUUAGUGGAAGCGUCUGGAAAGGCGCGCGAUACAGGGUGACAGCCCCGUACACAAAAAUGCACAUACUGUGAGCUCGAUGAGUAGGGCGGGACACGUGGUAUCCUGUCUGAAUAUGGGGGGACCAUCCUCCAAGGCUAAAUACUCCUGACUGACCGAUAGUGAACCAGUACCGUGAGGGAAAGGCGAAAAGAACCCCGGCGAGGGGAGUGAAAAAGAACCUGAAACCGUGUACGUACAAGCAGUGGGAGCACAGAGCAAUCUGUGUGACUGCGUACCUUUUGUAUAAUGGGUCAGCGACUUAUAUUCUGUAGCAAGGUUAACCGAAUAGGGGAGCCGAAGGGAAACCGAGUCUUAACUGGGCGUUAAGUUGCAGGGUAUAGACCCGAAACCCGGUGAUCUAGCCAUGGGCAGGUUGAAGGUUGGGUAACACUAACUGGAGGACCGAACCGACUAAUGUUGAAAAAUUAGCGGAUGACUUGUGGCUGGGGGUGAAAGGCCAAUCAAACCGGGAGAUAGCUGGUUCUCCCCGAAAGCUAUUUAGGUAGCGCCUCGUGAAUUCAUCUCCGGGGGUAGAGCACUGUUUCGGCAAGGGGGUCAUCCCGACUUACCAACCCGAUGCAAACUGCGAAUACCGGAGAAUGUUAUCACGGGAGACACACGGCGGGUGCUAACGUCCGUCGUGAAGAGGGAAACAACCCAGACCGCCAGCUAAGGUCCCAAAGUCAUGGUUAAGUGGGAAACGAUGUGGGAAGGCCCAGACAGCCAGGAUGUUGGCUUAGAAGCAGCCAUCAUUUAAAGAAAGCGUAAUAGCUCACUGGUCGAGUCGGCCUGCGCGGAAGAUGUAACGGGGCUAAACCAUGCACCGAAGCUGCGGCAGCGACGCUUAUGCGUUGUUGGGUAGGGGAGCGUUCUGUAAGCCUGCGAAGGUGUGCUGUGAGGCAUGCUGGAGGUAUCAGAAGUGCGAAUGCUGACAUAAGUAACGAUAAAGCGGGUGAAAAGCCCGCUCGCCGGAAGACCAAGGGUUCCUGUCCAACGUUAAUCGGGGCAGGGUGAGUCGACCCCUAAGGCGAGGCCGAAAGGCGUAGUCGAUGGGAAACAGGUUAAUAUUCCUGUACUUGGUGUUACUGCGAAGGGGGGACGGAGAAGGCUAUGUUGGCCGGGCGACGGUUGUCCCGGUUUAAGCGUGUAGGCUGGUUUUCCAGGCAAAUCCGGAAAAUCAAGGCUGAGGCGUGAUGACGAGGCACUACGGUGCUGAAGCAACAAAUGCCCUGCUUCCAGGAAAAGCCUCUAAGCAUCAGGUAACAUCAAAUCGUACCCCAAACCGACACAGGUGGUCAGGUAGAGAAUACCAAGGCGCUUGAGAGAACUCGGGUGAAGGAACUAGGCAAAAUGGUGCCGUAACUUCGGGAGAAGGCACGCUGAUAUGUAGGUGAAGUCCCUCGCGGAUGGAGCUGAAAUCAGUCGAAGAUACCAGCUGGCUGCAACUGUUUAUUAAAAACACAGCACUGUGCAAACACGAAAGUGGACGUAUACGGUGUGACGCCUGCCCGGUGCCGGAAGGUUAAUUGAUGGGGUUAGCGCAAGCGAAGCUCUUGAUCGAAGCCCCGGUAAACGGCGGCCGUAACUAUAACGGUCCUAAGGUAGCGAAAUUCCUUGUCGGGUAAGUUCCGACCUGCACGAAUGGCGUAAUGAUGGCCAGGCUGUCUCCACCCGAGACUCAGUGAAAUUGAACUCGCUGUGAAGAUGCAGUGUACCCGCGGCAAGACGGAAAGACCCCGUGAACCUUUACUAUAGCUUGACACUGAACAUUGAGCCUUGAUGUGUAGGAUAGGUGGGAGGCUUUGAAGUGUGGACGCCAGUCUGCAUGGAGCCGACCUUGAAAUACCACCCUUUAAUGUUUGAUGUUCUAACGUUGACCCGUGAUCCGGGUUGCGGACAGUGUCUGGUGGGUAGUUUGACUGGGGCGGUCUCCUCCUAAAGAGUAACGGAGGAGCACGAAGGUUGGCUAAUCCUGGUCGGACAUCAGGAGGUUAGUGCAAUGGCAUAAGCCAGCUUGACUGCGAGCGUGACGGCGCGAGCAGGUGCGAAAGCAGGUCAUAGUGAUCCGGUGGUUCUGAAUGGAAGGGCCAUCGCUCAACGGAUAAAAGGUACUCCGGGGAUAACAGGCUGAUACCGCCCAAGAGUUCAUAUCGACGGCGGUGUUUGGCACCUCGAUGUCGGCUCAUCACAUCCUGGGGCUGAAGUAGGUCCCAAGGGUAUGGCUGUUCGCCAUUUAAAGUGGUACGCGAGCUGGGUUUAGAACGUCGUGAGACAGUUCGGUCCCUAUCUGCCGUGGGCGCUGGAGAACUGAGGGGGGCUGCUCCUAGUACGAGAGGACCGGAGUGGACGCAUCACUGGUGUUCGGGUUGUCAUGCCAAUGGCACUGCCCGGUAGCUAAAUGCGGAAGAGAUAAGUGCUGAAAGCAUCUAAGCACGAAACUUGCCCCGAGAUGAGUUCUCCCUGACUCCUUGA